rnacentral:rRNA from 1 species
UAAGGAAUUUUCGUCAAUGGGGGAAACCCUGAACGAGCAACGCCGCGUGGAGGAUGACGGUCUUCGGAUUGUAAACUCCUUUUGUGAGGGACGAUAAUGACGGUACCUCGCGAAUAAGCCCCGGCUAACUCUGUGCCAGCAGCCGCGGUAAUACAGAGGGGGCAAGCGUUGUCCGGAGUUACUGGGCGUAAAGCGCACGUAGGCGGUCCGGCAAGUGGUGUGUGAAACCAAUCAGCUUAACUGAUUGACGCCAUGCCAAACUGCAGGACUCGAGUCAUGGAGAGGUAGUUCGAAUUGCUGGUGUAGUGGUGAAAUGCGUAGAUAUCAGCAGGAAGACCAAGGGAGAAAUCAGACUACUGGCCAUGAACUGACGCUCAGGUGCGAAAGCGUGGGGAGCGAACUGG